AAUGCUUCCAGCUUGGGUGGAGCAAUUGUGCAUUGAGCAGGAGCAGAUGGUGGCUUAAAGCAACAGAAGCCCCCAGUUGGCUCCUAAUUUAACAUUUUAACUAGUUUAUUUUUUCUAUUUUUUUAAUAUUUAUUAGUUUCAACUUCUAUCUAGCGGCAAGAAAUUGAAGAAAGAAAAGAAAAAAAGAAGAAAAAGGGCAAAGGUCCAAGGGGAGAAAACAAAGAAGCUGGGCAGAAUGAAGGACAUCUGCUCAUGGCGAUACGCUUUUUCUAGUUAAUUUGGUUCUGUUGUAACUAGAGUUAAUAUAUUCUUCUGAAGCAUAUUCUUGUGCUGAUGAGAGAAGGGCUAGAUGGUGCAGAGUACCUUAUUUCCGGGUGGCCUAUUCUUUGGUUUAUUUUUACUUAUUGUAGGUUUGUAUACAUCUCAUUGUACUAUAAAGCUGUUACGUUAAUUACUGAAUUCAAUAUGUUUCAAAUUUCAGUAUAUCAACAUUUCUCUGUUAUGCUUAUGCAAGCAUUUGCUAAAAAUGCUUUCACAUUGACAUCACCAC
rnacentral:misc_RNA from 1 species